UCCAAGGCUUUAUCCAAAGCCACAAUUAUUUAAAAAGAAAAUGAA
rfam:Rattus norvegicus chromosome 17, whole genome shotgun sequence.